rnacentral:rRNA from 1 species
GACGAACGCUGGCGGCGUGCUUAACACAUGCAAGUCGAACGAGUGGCGAACGGGUGAGUAAUACGUGAGUAACCUGCCCUCUUUUUGGGAUAAGCCUUGGAAACGGGGUCUAAUACCGGAUAAAGGGGGAUGGGCUUGCGGCCUAUCAGCUUGUUGGUGGGGUGAUGGCCUACCAAGGCGGUGACGGGUAGCCGGCCUGGGAGGGUGACCGGCGACAUUGGGACUGCGCUACGGCCCAGCCUCCUAAGGGAGGCAGCAGUGGGGGAAAUUGCACAAUGGGCGAAAGCCUGAUGCAGCGGCGCCGCGUGAGGGAUGAAGGCUUUCGGGUUGUAAGCCUCUUUCGCUAUCGAAGGGUAGGUGGAGAAGAAGCGCCGGCUAACUACGUGCCAGCCGCCGCGGUAAUAC